GAGAGCAGGGCACUCAUUCACUCUCACUCAUGAACGAAGGGCCUUAAUAGAAGCUCACCACACUCCACACUUAACAGUCAAUUGAUCCAACCUUGUGCCAUUCACUAGAGCUCCAGCUUGUUUGAAAUUUACAGCAGAAUGGUGCUCACCCACAGAAGCAAUCCUGUGAUGAUCUUUAGGGAUCUCAAGCAGUUCUAAUCCAAGGACAAAUUUAAAUCUUCCAAGGGUUUCAGAAGCCAGAUCCAUAUAACCACCAGCACAC
rnacentral:lncRNA from 1 species